rnacentral:rRNA from 1 species
AUACGGAGGGGGUUAGCGUUGUUCGGAAUUACUGGGCGUAAAGCGCACGUAGGCGGACUGGAAAGUUGGGGGUGAAAUCCCGGGGCUCAACCCCGGAACUGCCUCCAAAACUUCCAAUCUAGAGAUCAAGAGAGGUGAGUGGAAUUCCAAGUGUAGAGGUGAAAUUCGUAGAUAUUUGGAGGAACACCAGUGGCGAAGGCGGCUCACUGGCUCGAUACUGACGCUGAGGUGCGAAAGCGUGGGGAGCAAACAGGAUUAGAUACCCCAGUAGUCC